rnacentral:rRNA from 1 species
AUACGGAGGGGGCUAGCGUUGUUCGGAAUUACUGGGCGUAAAGCGCGCGUAAGCGGAUCGUUAAGUCAGGGGUGAAAGCCCGGAGCUCAACUCCGGAACUGCCCUUGAUACUGGCGAUCUCGAGUCCGGGAGAGGUGAGCGGAAUUCCUAGUGUAGAGGUGAAAUUCGUAGAUAUUAGGAGGAACACCAGUGGCGAAGGCGGCUCACUGGCCCGGUACUGACGCUGAGGUGCGAAAGCGUGGGGAGCAAACAGGAUUAGAUACCCUAGUAGUCC